rnacentral:rRNA from 1 species
GACGAACGCUGGCGGCGUGCUUAACACAUGCAAGUCGAACGGUGAAGGGACCGGUUUUUGCUGGUUCUGGAUGAGUGGCGAACGGGUGAGUAACACGUGAGUAACCUGCCCCCUUCUUCUGGAUAACCGCAUGAAAGUGUGGCUAAUACGGGAUAUUCUGCGCCUGCUGCAUGGUGGGUGUGGGAAAGAUAUUGUUUCGGUGGGGGAUGGGCUCGCGGCCUAUCAGCUUGUUGGUGGGGUGAUGGCCUACCAAGGCGGUGACGGGUAGCCGGCCUGAGAGGGUGGACGGUCACACUGGGACUGAGACACGGCCCAGACUCGUACGGGAGGCAGCAGUGGGGAAUAGUGAACAAUGGGCGCAAGCCUGAUGCAGCGACGCCGCGUGGGGGAUGGAGGCCUUCGGGUUGUAAACCUCUUUCGCCAGUGAAGCAGGCCUGUCCCUUUUGUGGGUGGGUUGACGGUAGCUGGAUAAGAAGCGCCGGCUAACUACGUG